ACUCAAAUGAAUUGACGGGGGCCCGCACAAGCAGUGGAGCAUGUGGUUUAAUUCGAUGCAACGCGAAGAACCUUACCUGGGCUCGAAAUGUAGAAGGCGAUAACAGAGAUGUUAUUUCCCGCAAGGGCUUUUAUAUAGGUGCUGCAUGGCUGUCGUCAGCUCGUGCCGUGAGGUGUUUGGUUAAGUCCAGCAACGAGCGCAACCCUUAUCGUUAGUUGCCAGCGCGUAAAGGCGGGAACUCUAACGAGACUGCCUGGGUUAACCAGGAGGAAGGUGAGGAUGACGUCAAGUCCGCAUGGCCUUUAUGUCCAGGGCUACACACGUGCUACAAUGGUCGGUACAGAGGGCAGCGAAGCCGUGAGGUGAAGCAAAUCCCCCAAAGCCGAUCCCAGUUCAGAUUGUAGUCUGCAACUCGACUACAUGAAGUUGGAAUUGCUAGUAAUGGCGUGUCAGCAACAACGCCGUGAAUACGUUCCCGGGCCUUGCACACACCGCCCGU
rnacentral:rRNA from 1 species